GCCCGCUUGCACCUCGGCGAUCCCCGACUCCCUUCUUUAUGGCGUCGCUCCUGUGCUGUGGGCCGAAGCUGGCCGCCUGCGGCAUCGUCCUCAGCGCCUGGGGAGUGAUCAUGUUGGUGAGGGGACUCCCCGGCAAGGAUCGGAGAGGGCCUGAGGGGCUCCGGGCUGGGAGGGCUGGGAGGCGAGGAAACUCUGGGCCGCAGGCAGGCCGGAGGGGCCGGGGAUCUACAGGCCCCGGAGAAGGAGACAGACUGAAAUUGAAAAAUGGGAACUGUUCGAGACCAGCCUGACCAACAUGGUGAAACCCCGUCUCUAAUAAAAAUACAAAAAUUAGCCGGGCCUGGUGGCGCCCGCCUGUAAUCCCAGCUACUCAGGAGGCUGAGGCAGGAGAAUCGCUUGAACCCGGGAGGCGGAGGGUGCAGUGAGCCGAGAUCGCGCCACUGCACUCCAGCCUGGGUGACAGAGCGAGACUCCGUCCCCAAGGAAAAAGAAAAAAGGGAACUGGAGCGGAGGGCCCUGGAGUGGGAGGAGCCAGGGCUGGUAAAGGUGGAGACCCCUCAAGGUAGGAGAAACAAGAGCGGGGUUCCUGAGAGAUGCUUGAGUUGAAUGGAGGACAUGGGAGGAAAAGAGAGUGCUUGUUCCAGAAAUGUGUAGCUGGGCCUUGUUUUCCCAGUAAUCCACCCACCGCCACUUCAAGAAGAAAUGAUAUGAAGAAGUGCCGGUUCUCCCUCCCCUCUUCCGCACUGUCCCGUGAUGAUGACGCCUCCAGAGAGGACGAUAAUCUGGGUUCCUGGGAGAGAUGGCUUGGUCACUAUUCCCACCCUUGCCUCGGCCACUUGUCUCAAUGUCACCACCUCACGCCCUGUUCCAGGUGGCUGAGUCCGAAUCCAGUAACCACCACCUCGUUUUGGUUAAUCUCAGGCUCGGGUGUUGUAGCAACAUUGGAAAUGGGAGGGGUUUACGAAGUGAACAUGAGGUCAGGUGCCUGAAUUCAACAGUCUACCCAUUCCCCUUUUCCAGAUAAUGCUCGGAAUAUUUUUCAAUGUCCAUUCCGCUGUGUUGAUUGAGGACGUUCCCUUCACGGAGAAAGAUUUUGAGAAUGGCCCCCAGAACAUAUACAACCUUUACGAGCAAGUCAGCUACAACUGUUUCAUCGCUGCAGGCCUUUACCUCCUCCUCGGAGGCUUCUCUUUCUGCCAAGUUCGGCUCAAUAAGCGCAAGGAAUACAUGGUGCGCUAGGGCCCCGGCGCGUUUCCCCGCUCCAGCCCCUCCUCUAUUUAAAGACUCCCUGCACCGCGUCACCCAGGUCGCGUCCCACCCUUGCCGGCGCCCUCUGCGGGACUGGGUUUCCCGGGCGAGAGGCUGAAUCCCUUCUCCCAUCUCUGGCAUCCGGCCCCCGUGGAGAGGGCUGAGGCUGGGGGGCUGUUCCGUCUCUCCACCCUUCGCUGUGUCCCGUAUCUCAAUAAAGAGAAUCUGCUCUCUUAA
rnacentral:sRNA from 1 species